GAGGAGCCAGGGUGCCGAGCACCCACCGCUCUCUGGAAGUCUGCGUGCGGUUAGCUGAUGAAGGAACAAAAGACAUAGUUCCUACAAGCAUCAACCCAGGACCCAAGCUUGGGAGGCAAGUCUGCGGUGGAGAGCCUCCAGCCACUAUGCCAAGAAGGGCCUCCAUGUUUGCCACUGACCAUGAGCUCACCCACAGCCUAUGUGUCAUCUAGAGCUAUGAUGGCAAAGCCUAAAAUAUCUGCAAUACUGAAUACAUUUACUGAUUUCAAUGAAGCUAAUUUAAAGGCCUUUUCUGGGCAAAACUAUCCUUUGAUGGGGGAAAAAUUCUAUGAUGAAAAGGAGCAUAGAGAACUUUCUGAGUGUUGUGAGGUUUAAAUGGAGCAUUGCAUAUGGAGCAGUGAGCAUGACGCCUGGACUCAGGAAGAGCUCCUUCCACUGGAACCAGUGUUGCGCUCGUUACUAACGGAUUUGAUGAUUACAGGCCAAAACCACCAUCUCCAGCUUCACCAGCGUUUGUCAGGUUUGAGGCAAGCAUUUGGAAUGAACUGACACAUUUCUGGACUUAUCCAUCGCAUAAAUCGAGGAUGGGUGUAUGUGCUCAUGGUAAAAAUUCAAAUAUUACGGGGGCACGGGUGACUCUGAAAGUGAGAGUUCCCCUAUAGUUAUGCUUUCUGAAAAUAAGCAGUAUUUCCAGUCCUUGGUACAUUCUUCCAGAUUUUGUCCAUGCUUAUGUACAUACAAGCAAGAGGCUGUUACUUUUUGUGCUGUAUAAAAUUGCCUUUCCCUUGACUUUGCCUUGGACAUCUUUUCAUGUCAGUUCAUCAAGAGCUAUGAUGUGAGAGGACUCACAUGUGACCCCUCAGACACAUAUCUGUGGUCAGACUCAAUUGAGCAUCAUAAUUCCAGGGGAUCUGCUGAGCUCGAGUUUCUCCCCAAUACCACAGACCAGGAAGGAUGACAUUCACCAACGCUUGGGAAAUGGCUGACUCUUCUCAGAGAACAUCCCCACUCAUCUCCCACAACCCAUGACCUGUCCCUCGCAGCAGAGCUGCUGGGGACCGCCAUCAUGCUGGCCAAGCCCACCCACUUGUCCCAAAAGGUGACUUCCCAGGCAGAUCUAGUUUAUCAAUGGGACACUAUCCUCACAGGAAAAGUCUGAGUUCUAGGAAAGGAAUACACUUACUGGAAAAUAUGCAGAGAAAAACAGCAUAAUCAGAAUGACUACAUGUUUAAUGAAAUGCCUACAAAGUAAACCAUUAUGUCAACUUCAUUAAUUGGUCAAUUUACUAUUUAUCAUCGUUUCACGACAUUUGAAAAAUGAAUUGAAAGUAACAUUGGCCCAUUUGCAAGAAUUCUUGAUGAAUGCGUGAAGACUGCCAACAAAUAACAUGAAUUCCUCAUAUCCUUAUUAUUUUUAAAAGCAAAAUUAUUAAAGGGGUGCCUGGUUGGCUUAGUCGGUGGAGGUGCAACUCUUGAUCUCGGGGUUGUAUGUUUGAGCCCCACGUUGGGUGUAGAGAUUACUUAAAAAUAAAAUCUUAAAAAUAUAUAUUCACACCCAUCUGUGAGUAUGUGUGUGCAUGUGUGUGUGUGUGUGUGUGUGUGUACAUAAAUAUGUAAUAGUGAGGGCUGUGCUUGACAUGUGGAUUACUCCUGGGCCAGAGUCUUUAGGAGUAGGAAGACCUAGGGCUGCACAGGACCCCAAGGAACCCUGUAGUCAGCCAGGAUCGCCUUCUGCACGCACGCGAUAGGAGUCGUGCUGAGUCAAAAGGAAGUUCUUCCUCAACAAUUUCUAAAAAUAGUCCUUAGCAUGAGGGCAGGAUAUUAGUGGUCUGGGAACUAGGAGAAUCAGAGGCAGAAUUUAGAGAGCUGACAAAGGUGGAAACCCAUGGCCUAAAAGGUGUCUUUCAGGCUCCCCCGGACCUCUAGAAAAACACAAAAUUCUAUCAUUAGACACAAUGCCUUUAUUGGCCUAGAUCCCCACUGAAAUACAAGUAACUUCAGGAGUAAGGUGCUUGUUUUCUCUUCCUUUAAAAAAAAAAUAAUAAUAAUAACAGAAGUGGAAUCCUUAUAAUAAAGAGCACACAUCUUCAGAGUCUGGCCCAAUAAUCUUUUAAAUAUAUAUCCCCCCAGUUAACACUACUCAGAUCAGUGCAUGAAAUAUUUCCGUCACUCCAAAAGGCUGCCUCUGCUUCCUCCCAGGUCAAUUCCUUCUUCAAGGUAACCACCAUUCCGAUUUCAGUCACCGUAGAUGAGUUUUACCUGGUUUUGAACCUCAUAUAGAUGGAAUCAUACAGGAUGUACUCUCUUGUGUCUAGUGUCUUUCUCAAUAUUGCAUCUGUGAGAUUUAUCCCUGUUGCUGAGAAUGGGAAUAGCUCUUUCAAGUGUUAGCAAUGAUGGAAUUACAUAUGGCCAAACAGGUCUAUCAUUGUCGGUCCCACAGUCCUCUUCUGCAUUAUGCAAUCAUCAUCUCCCCGCCCUCUUCUCUCACAACCCUCAGCUGUAUAAAUGGACAAGUGAACGUCAUAAUGUCUUACAAUUUAGAUGUGAUUUUUUUUUUCCUGGUUACAAAAGUUACAUAUGCUCAUAGAAGCAGAAGACGAUGACAACGAGGAAGAAGAAAAAGAAGAGGAGGAGGAAGAGGAAAAGGAGAAAGGGAGAGAGAGGGGAGAGAGAAAGAAAGAAAGAGAAAGAAAGAAGGAAGGAAGAAAGGAAGGAAGGAAGAGAGAGAGAGAAAGAGAGGAAGAAAGAAAUUCUAGCUCUUGCAUGGCUCACCCGGACACAGUCAAUCCUUGGGCUGGUCAGUGGCCUUUGACCUGUAUAAUCUGGCUCAGAAAAAUGAAUUAGGUCAGUCACUUCUCCCUCUCAGGAACGUGACUUCUAGAACUUGGAGGGAAGUGGCAUUCGGUGGAGACAUCGGUCCUGCAUGGACUGUGUGUGGUGCCGCCCAGAACCUUCUCCAGGAGGGCAGGGCCUAUUUUCCCAGCAGCAGCCUUUUUGUCCAACCUGAGGACAAUUCCGAGGCCAAAGCGAUUCCAGAGCUCCUCAUGGGGCUGGGUGACACCUCUGUGGUGGCUGCUCUGGUGCCGGAUCUCCCCCCUGCCCAUUCCCCCUUCUCCCUUCGCCUCCACCCCCUGAACAUGAGCCCCAGGGCCUACCACCAUAAACUUUCUGCUCACUAGUCUCCACCUCAGUCUGUUUCCUGGGGGGACCAACCCACCACAGGGCAGGAAGAAAGUGUGAUGCAUGGUAUCAGGCGUGUCCCGCACAGGUCCUUCCCUCCUGCUCCGAGUCCUGCUAUCUUCACAUCCCACAUCCGGACUUCUGGCCUCCUGGAGAAUUGUUUACCUGACACUCAGUGUCUCCAAAGAAAACAAGAUGAGUUUUGCAGAAAGACCCGUCAGGGAAACACGGAGUUGCCAUCUCUCUCCUGCUGGGACUCAUGAUACAAUCAGACUGCGGGGGAAGACAGCUUUGUCUCCCUGCCCCACCUCCCCCUCUGGCUCCUGCAGAAAGCAGACAAAGAGAAGAUGUCCAGAACGGAGAAGAUAACCGGAAUUCUGCUAGAAGUAAAAGGGAAUACAUGUGCAAUAAGAAGAAAUACUCCCAUUGUAAGAAACUCUCCGUUUUCCUGGGAGAAUGUGACCCCCAUAAAAGAUUCAGAAAUUUGCUACCAAUUCA